ensembl:lncRNA
CUCGUAGCUGGGGCUACUUCGCAAACUGAUCUGCUUGUUUAUUUAUUUCAUCAUUAUUUCUUUUUGCAUCUUCCAUUCUCCUGUCUUGAAGAGUAUGGUUUAAAAGGCUUUUUAAAUUUUUUAUGAAAGGUGCCUUAGUUUGUGGGUACAAGUAUCAGAAGUAAAACUCAGAAGUACUGGCAUUGGUAAGUGGCUUUUGAAACUGGAGAAUGUCAAAGAAAUGUAAAUCACACUCUUCUAGGAGUGUCUAUCUUUUUCCAAGAGCUUUCGCAACCAUUAACUCAUUGGACCCCACCACAGAGUGUUCUAGCUGAGCUCUAACAAACUGGAUCGUUUCUGUUUGUGGAAAGGCAGCUGGUGGGAAGCCAUAGCUUGGUAUGAGGGAUUGGGGUUGGUGUGGGGGUGUGUCUUUGCUUAUUUCUGCUGAUGGAAGAGAGGAGAUUAUUUGGUAGACUAUGAGGCCUCGGGAACAGGAGAUGAGGAAGAGGUGGGAUGCCAUUGAUACUUUCAUGUGGCCUUGAGGCAUCUGAAUGAUGAGAGCAGGGUGAGGGCGAGUUGAAUCCUGCAGGAGAAUCCUGCUGCAUCCCCAGAGAAGCUGGGGAGGGGUGUCCUCACUGUGCACCCCUCUGCCUCAGACACUGCCAGCUGGGGCUCCCAGGGCUCCCUGAACCCAGUUGCCGUCCAGACACCCUGAAGGCGAGGUGGGGUCAAGGCAUUUCAGGUCACCUUCAUGCUGGACUUCAGUGCCACAGCAGCGACAGAAAAAACCAAGGUGUGUGACUGGGGCCUCUUCUCUGAUCUUUCAGACCCUCCUAGGGUCUGUUCUCACCUUUGGCUCUGCUGCUGCUGCUACGUCAGUUGCUUCAGUCGUGUCUGACUCUGUGCGACCCCAUAGACGGCAGCCCACCAGGCUCGCCCGUCCCUGGGAUUCUCCAGGCAAGAACACUAGAGUGGGUUGCCAUUUCCUUCUCCAACGCAUGAAGGUGAAAAGUGAAAGUGAAGUUGCUCAGUCGUGUCCAACUCCUAGCGACCCCAUGGACUGUAGCCUACCAGGCUCCCCCGUCCAUGGGAUUUUCCAGGCAAGAGUACUAGAGUGGGGUGCCAUUGCCUUCUCCACACCUUUGGCUCUAGUUCUAUCUGUUUGGGGCCCAAGGACACCAUCUGGAGUCCUGCCAUGGGGUUACUAAGCUGAGGCCAGUCAGUCCCACAGUAACUGGGGGCUGCUGAGGCUGACAGCCACGCCUACAGCCCCCCUCCUCGGCUACAGCCACGCCCCUGACUGUGACCACACCCACAGUCUCUGUCCUGCUCCAGUCACACCCACCACGGGGCUGAAACCACAUGCCAGGACGUUCCUCCUCACCACUGCUUUCAGCCGAGUGGCUGCCACCAAGUUUCUGAGAAAUGAGUCACAGGAGACUUUAACUUGGGGGAAAAUCUUGUGCCAGCUUUAUUUGGAUGUUGCAAAGGCCAGUAUGAUGAGGCCAACAGCAGUGUACCUGAACACUAAAGCUUUCAAAACUGCAUUCACAACUUUGCACUUUCUAGGCUCUGCACUACCCUCUGCGCCGUCUGGGACCAGCUCCCUGUUUGUUCUCUUUGAGUGGAAGACAGAUCAGCCAUGAGUACCUGGCACUGUUUUAUAUCUCAGUGUGGCAUUUGGUAAGGCACCUAAAGGACCUCUGGCCUUCCAGAUGCGUCUGAGCAGCCCAAUAAAACUUAAUUGCCCAUUCUGUCCCUUUGUACCUUGGAUCCUCACCAGACCCAGCAUACCAGAGCCAGCUCAGCCCUGAGAACUGUGCCAUGCCCCUUGGAAGCCCUCAGUAGGAUUUGGACUGGCUGGCCAGCUCCUGCCUCUAGAACAUGAGCUCUUCAAGGUCACAGACUGUGUCCGCUUAAGUCCUUGUUUACAAGACAGAAAUUGUUAGCAUGCGAAUGUUCUGAAGUCUUCUGCCUCAGCCCACCAGAACAACCUUGUAGUUGACAACACAUCUCCUCCCUCUCGCUGAAGAGGAGGGAUUCUUUCAGCUUUCUAUGCUUUCCAGAUUCUUUGGAAAUGUGCAUGUACAUUACUUUUAUGACCAGAGGAGAAGCCCUGACAAAUGCUAUCUUUAAAAGAGAAGAAAAAAUAUUGAGGCAAAGUGCAAGAUGAUUUUGUAGGAACUGGAUGAAAAAAAAAAAUCCCAAGUUAGAUGGAGAAACAGAUGUUUUCUGGUCAAGAGCUUAUUAGGAGAGAAGUGACAUCAAUCUGGGUUCACAUCAGCUCAAGUGGCAAAUCAUAAUGCAAAAUGAAAGUACAUUCAGAGGGGCUGAACCCACACUGGGAUUUUGUCAUGUGAAUCAUCAAGCUAGAAAUGACCUCAGGACAUAUGACCCCGCCCCCUCCCCUCACCUCAGGAAAGCUGGCAUGAGCUAUGGUCCUCUAGGAACUGUACAUAUAUUUCCUUCCUCCUAAGCUUCAGGCAGGCUCAAUUUAGCCCUUGCAGGUGCCCCCAACCAGCGAUCUCCAACCCAGUUCUCCUCCUGUCUGGGAGAGCCUGGGAGUUGGCCCAGAGCCUUCCUGCUCUCCCUGGGUCCUUCCUUGCACAAAACCUUGUCCCCCUAGAAGUCAGUAAUGUCAGCUGUAUGAUAGGGAUAGGAAGGAUUCAAGGAGGUAAGGCAGAGCUGGGAG